rnacentral:lncRNA from 10 species
AUUUGAAGCUGGCUUGCAUGAAAUGUAUAGUGCUUAUGCACAGAUUAGAACCUCUUCCCAGAACCUGAGGGUGGAGAUGUAUAUCCUCAUUUAAAGGAAAUGAAGGUUGUUAUAGCAUUUCUUUGCAGUUUGUCCCCAAAUUUGGCGUAAUUUUGAUUUGGGAAGGAUGACCUUGACAUGAAGUCCUGUCUUUCUUUUUUUUGUUUUUUUUUUUCGGGUGGGGGACGGAGUCUCUCUCCGUCGCCCAGGCUGGAGUGUAGUGGCGCGAUCUUGGCUCACUGCAACCUCUGCCUCCCGGGUUCAAGCGAUUCUCCUGCCUCACCCUC